rnacentral:tRNA from 1 species
GGGCCUAUAGUAUAGCGGUAGAACGCCUCCAUGGCAUGGAGGAGGUGGGAGUUCGACUCUCCCUAGGUCCA